rnacentral:rRNA from 1 species
UGGGGAAUAUUGGACAAUGGGCGCAAGCCUGAUCCAGCCAUGCCGCGUGUGUGAAGAAGGUCUUCGGAUUGUAAAGCACUUUAAGUUGGGAGGAAGGGCCAUUACCUAAUACGUGAUGGUUUUGACGUUACCGACAGAAUAAGCACCGGCUAACUCUGUGCCAGCAGCCGCGGUAAUACAGAGGGUGCAAGCGUUAAUCGGAAUUACUGGGCGUAAAGCGCGCGUAGGUGGUUAGUUAAGUUGGAUGUGAAAUCCCCGGGCUCAACCUGGGAACUGCAUUCAAAACUGACUGACUAGAGUAUGGUAGAGGGUGGUGGAAUUUCCUGUGUAGCGGUGAAAUGCGUAGAUAUAGGAAGGAACACCAGUGGCGAAGGCGACCACCUGGACUGAUACUGACACUGAGGUGCGAAAGCGUGGGGAGCAAACAGGAUUAGAUACCCCUGUAGUCCCUGAGCGGGCUGGCAAGGCGCAU